rnacentral:rRNA from 1 species
UACGAGGGGGGCAAGUGUUGUUCGGAAUCACUGGGCGUAAAGGGAGCGUAGGCGGAUGUUUAAGUUGGAUGUUUAAAACCGGGGCCUAACCUCGGAGCGGCAUCCAAACUGGGCAUCGUUGAAUAGGUCAGAGGCUGGUGGAAUUGGAGGUGUAGCGGUGGAAUGCGUAGAGAUCUCCAAGAACACCUAUUGCGAAGGCAGCCAGCUGGGACCAUAUUGACGCUGAGGCUCGAAAUGCAUGGGGAGCAAACAGG